rnacentral:rRNA from 1 species
AAAGGAUGGUCAUCUAUUUGGGGAUUGCAAGUUCCUUCAAAACUGAAAAUAUUCACAUGGAGGCUGGCUCGUCACUCACUUCCUACCAGUGAUGUUCUGCAUCAUCGAAACAUGUCACCAUCGCAUGUGUGUGCGUUAUGCGGAGCAGAUGACAACUGGCGCCAUUCUCUUAUUGAUUGUAACUACGCGCGGUGCGUGUGGGCUCUAUCAAAUGAGGAUAUGGUGCAGUAUAUGUGUAUGCAGAGAGAUGAACAGGGAAAGAGAUGGCUCUUUCUGAUGAGCGAAUCGCUUCCUCAAGAGGAAUUCACUAUCAUGAUUGUCACACUAUGGGCGAUUUGG